AUUGAACGCUGGCGGCAGGCCUAACACAUGCAAGUCGAGCGAGCGGCGGACGGGUGAGUAAUGUCUGGGAAACUGCCUGAUGGAGGGGGAUAACUCCUGGAAACGGUAGCUAAUACCGCAUAUUAUUCGAGCGGCCGAUAACUGAUUAGCUAGUUGGUGGGGUAAAGGCCUACCAAGGCGACGAUCAGUAGCGGGUCUGAGAGGACGAUCCGCCACACUGGGACUGAGACACGGCCCAGACUCCUACGGGAGGCAGCAGUGGGGAAUUUUGGACAAUGGGGGCAACCCUGAUCCAGCCAUGCCGCGUGUAUGAAGAAGGCCUUCGGGUUGUAAAGUACUUUCAGCGGGGAGGCGUUACCCGCAGAAGAAGCACCGGCUAACUCCGUGCCAGCAGCCGCGGUAAUUC
rnacentral:rRNA from 1 species